rnacentral:rRNA from 1 species
AUUGAACGCUGGCGGCAUGCUUACACAUGCAAGUCGGACGAGUGGCGAACGGGUGAGGAAUACAUCGGAAUGUGUCCCGUCGUGGGGGAUAGCGCGGAGUAAGCCGGUUAACACCGCAUACUAUAGGCGCGGGCGAUGGCUGAUUAGGUAGGUGGUGGGGUAAAGGCCUACCAAGCCGACGAUCUGUAGCUGGUCUGAGAGGACGACCAGCCACACUGGGACUGAGACACGGCCCAGACUCCUACGGGAGGCAGCAGUGGGGAAUUUUGGGCAAUGGGGGCAACCCUGAUGCAGCAAUGCCGCGUGUGUGAAGAAGGCUUCGGGUUGUAAAGCACUUUUGUCCGGGAAGCGGUACCGGAAGAAUAAGCACCGGCUAACUACGUGCCAGCAGCCGCGGUAAUAC